ACGGGAGGCAGCAGUGAGGAAUAUUGGUCAAUGGACGGAAGUCUGAACCGGCCAAGUAGCGUGCAGGAUGACGGCCCUAUGGGUUGUAAACUGCUUUUGUACGGGAAUAAAGUGACCUACGUGUAGGUUUUUGCAUGUACCGUAAGAAUAAGGACCGGCUAAUUCCGUGCCAGCAGCCGCGGUAAUACGGAAGGUCCGGGCGUUAUCCGGAUUUAUUGGGUUUAAAGGGAGCGUAGGCCGUGCUUUAAGCGUGUUGUGAAAUGUAGGCGCCCAACGUCUGCACUGCAGCGCGAACUGGAGCACUUGAGUACGCAGGAAGUAGGCGGAAUUCGUCGUGUAGCGGUGAAAUGCUUAGAUAUGACGAAGAACUCCGAUUGCGAAGGCAGCUGACUGUAGCGUUACUGACGCUGAAGCUCGAAAGUGUGGGUAUCGAACAGGAUUAGAUACCCUGGUA
rnacentral:rRNA from 1 species